CCCGUGGCGCAAGGGUGAGUAAGGCGAAGGUAACCAACCCCAGGGCUGGGCAUAGCCGCGGGAAACUGCGGGUAAUUCCCAGCGACGUCACGAGGGGACAUCCCCUUGUGACCAAAGGUGCGACUCCGCCCUGGGACGGGCCUUCGUGGUAUCAGCUUGUUGGCGGGGUAACGGCCCACCAAGGCUGGGACGCCUACCGGGCGUGCGAGCGUGGCCCGGCACACUGGGACUGAGACACUGCCCAG
rnacentral:rRNA from 1 species